ensembl:lncRNA
GGAGAGGAGAGGAGAGGAGAGGAGAGGAGAGGAGAGGAGAGGAGAGGAGGGACCUGUUUCUUAUGUUAAAAAUACCUUUAAUGGCCCAAUAAUGUAUUUUUACACCACUUUAGUACACUCUUCACUUCAUUGUAACAGUACUAAAAGGUUCAAACCAAUCCCCCCCUCAUCCACAGCACACAGAAUCCCCCUGACGCCCCACACCUCUACAAAGUCCCAAAGACGGUUCACCAGCCAACAAUCGUGUGAGAGCAUCAGUCUGCGUCGAAGGUGAGAGGGUGAAUAAAGAGUUGGCUACAGUUAAACCGGGCUGAUGACACGCAUCUCAGGACGAGUCGGGGGAGGAGGCACAGGAUGUACUGGACUGUGGAGGCGCACUGGAGGUCUGGAGCGUGGUGAUGGCACUGGUGGUACCGGGCUGGUGACAUGCACCUCAGGGCGAGUGCGGGGAGGAUGCACAGGACGUAUUGGACUGUGGAGGUGCACUGGAAACCUGGUGCGUGGGACCGGUACAGGUGGCACCGGGCUGAUGACACACAUCUAAGGACGAGUGCAGGGAGAAUGUAUUGGACUGUGGAGGUGCACUGGAGGUCUGGAGCGUAGAGCUGAC